AAGAUUUUAAAAUUCUACACCUUUUUUACAUUUUAGGUUAGUUUUUUUAAUUAGUUAAAUAUAAUAAUAAAACUCAAUUAAGUAAUUCUAUUUUUUUUUGUUGGGCUUUAGGUUAUUUUUAAUUUAUUUUGGUCCACUAGAUCUUAACCUAAUUUUGUAUCCUAUAAAAAGGAACUAACGUUAACCUUUUUUUUUAAGAGAAAAAACGCUGAACAAAUCCUAACCUACAUUCCACCUCCCUCACGGUAUAAACAAUUUUUCAACUCUACCUUUCAAAACCUCAUUCACGUGUAAAUUCACAAACUACAGAUCUCCACCACAUGCUAACACUAUACAUACUACUGUACACCAAAGCCUUCUAAUCGUUCAUCAUCAUCUUACUAUAACACCGCAAACGGUUCGCCGGAAGUCGCAACCAUCACCGAUCUCCGAUAACAGCCACUACAAAGCACGCCGAUUCAGCACCAGCCAACGGUUUCAACAGCAAAAUUCGUUUUGAAGUGGGAAGAACAAUCCUAAGAAGUGGCAGCCGUGGGAAACAAAACCUUGAACCCACGUUCAUCCACAUCCGAUUCAACACCGUGAUUUCGAACUCGAAGCUUCAAAAUAUUCAAUUCCACAACAACUGUCAAGCGGAUCAGAAAACUUACGAGUCUGCGUCACUGGUUCAAGCCCUCCGUUCAUCUUCGAAUUCACGUUGCACUUUAGAUUCAGGUUAAUUCUUUCUAAUCUCUGUUCUUGCAUUUGUGUUGGUUUUCCAUUUGAAAUUGAUUUGAAUUUAUGGAUGAAUCAUAGAAAUUAAGGAGUAGAUUUUAGAACAAAAACUUGAGAGGGAUAGAGAAACAGAGAAUGGUGAUUAAAGAAGCAGAAUUUAUGAAUUAGAAGAGUUUAG